ensembl:lncRNA
UGAAGUUGCCACAUGUGGCCAGUGCCUGCCACGUAGCACUGAAUAAGUAUAAUUGUUGUGUCCCAGGCUGAGUUCUCAUGGUCAGCUUUCUGUCUUUGACAGCAUUCACUGCUGUAAUGGGUCACUGUGCAUCUUACACUCGUGUCAGUCUAGCUUCCUGUGUGUUUCAGUCUCCUCAGCCCCUUAACAAGAUUCAAAAAUUGAUAUAGAUGACUUCUGUGUGGAAAUGGUCAAAUUUGCUACAAUUGCAUUCAGAAGCUGACUUUUGUUUUUUGCUAGUUCUGGAAUUUGGGGUACACACCAAAAUCUCAUUCCUACCCACCUGAUUUGCCUCAUACAGACUUUCUCUUCAAGCCACCACAAGGCCAAUUUUAUUUGUAAAAGAACCAAGUGCUUUCCAGAGUCUUGGUACACAAGCAGUGGCGACAACUUCAGACACCACAGCUCCAAGGAGAACCAGGC